rnacentral:tRNA from 1 species
AUUCGAACCCUCGGUACAAAUAACUCGUACAACGGAUUAGCAAUUUGCCGCUUUAGUCCACUCAGCCAUCUCUC